GUCAGAGGGUGCAAACGUUGUUCGGAAUUACUGGGCGUAAAGCGCGUGUAGGCAGCUCAGCAAGUCGGAUGUGAAAGCCCUGGGCUUAACCUAGGAAGUGCAUUCGAAACUUCUGAGCUUGAGUUCUGGAGAGGAAGGCGGAAUUCUCGGUGUAGAGGUGAAAUUCGUAGAUAUCGAGAGGAACACCGGUGGCGAAGGCGGCCUUCUGGACAGUGACUGACGCUGAGACGCGAAAGCGUGGGGAGCAAACAGG
rnacentral:rRNA from 1 species